GCCCGGGUGGUGAAAUUGGUAGACACAAGGGAUUUAAAAUCCCUCGCUUAACAAAGCGUGCCGGUUCAAGUCCGGCCCCGGGCACCA
rnacentral:tRNA from 1 species